rnacentral:rRNA from 1 species
UGAGAAACGGGUUCCCACAUCUAAGGAAGGCAGCAGGCGCGCAAAUUACCCAAUCCUAAUACAGGGAGGUAGUGACAAGAAAUAACAAUACAGGACCUUACGGUUUUGUAAUUGGAAUGAGUUAAGUAUAAACCCCUUUACAAGUAUCAAUUGGAGGGCAAGUCUGGUGCCAGCAGCCGCGGUAAUUCCAGCUCCAAUAGCGUAUAUUAAAGUUGUUGCAGUUAAAAAGCUCGUAGUUGGAUUUCUGUUAAUAAUUUAUAUAUAAUAUUACGGUAUUUAUAUAAUAUUAACAUAAUUCAUAUUACUUUAUUUUUAGAGUAUAUGAAAUUUUACUUUGAGAAAAUUAGAGUGCUUAAAGCAGGCAUAUGCCUUGAAUACUCCAGCAUGGAAUAAUAUUAAAGAUUUUUAUCUUUCUUAUUGGUUCUAAGAUAAAAAUAAUGAUUAAUAGGGACAGUUGGGGGCAUUUGUAUUUAACAGUCAGAGGUGAAAUUCUUAGAUUUGUUAAAGACAAACUAGUGCGAAAGCAUUUGCCAAGGAUGUUUUCAUUAAUCAAGAACGAAAGUUAGGGGAUCGAAGACGAUCAGAUACCGUCGUAGUCUUAACCAUAAACUAUGCCA